rnacentral:lncRNA from 1 species
AACUACUGCAAAUAUAAUGCACAUACUUAAACAGGGCUAAGAAAGCAGUAAAGCACAAAAAAUGACAAAAAACAUAAAUCACCUAAAUUCAAAAGUAAGGCUAUAACAAGGCAUAAUUUUUCAAAAAUUAAAAAAAAAAAAAAAAAAAAAAAAAAAAAAUUGAGUUAAGACCAUCAUUAGACCCUAAAAACUACUGCAAAUAUAAUGCACAUACUUAAACAGGGCUAAGAAAGCAGUAAAGCACAAAAAAUGACAAAAAACAUAAAUCACCCAAAAUCAAAAGUAAGGCUAUAACAAGGCAUAUUUUUUCAAAAAUUAAAAAAAAAAAAAAAAAAAAAAAAAUUGAGUUAAGACCAUCAUUAGACCCUAAAAACUACUGCAAAUAUAAUGCACAUACUUAAACAGGGCUAAGAAAGCAGUAAAGCACAAAAAAUGACAAAAAACAUAAAUCACCCAAAAUCAAAAGUAAGGCUAUAACAAGGCAUAUUUUUUCAAAAAUUAAAAAAAAAAAAAAAAAAAAUUGAGUUAAGAUCAUCAUUAGACCCUAAAAACUACUGCAAAUAUAAUGCACAUACUUAAACAGGGCUAAGAAAGCAGUAAGGCACAAAAAAUGACAAAAAACAUAAAUCACCCAAAAUCAAAAAAAAAAAUUGAGUUAAGACCAUCAUUACACCCUAAAAACUACUGCAAAUAUAAUGCACAUACUUAAACAGGGCUAAGAAAGCAGUAAGGCACAAAAAAUGACAAAAAACAUAAAUCACCCAAAAUCAAAAGUAAGGCAUAUUUUUUCAAAAAUUAAAAAAAAAAAAAAAAAAUGAGUUAAGACCAUCAUUAGACCCUAAAAACUACUGCAAAUAUAAUGCACAUACUUAAACAGGGCUAAAAAAGCAGUAAGGCACAAAAAAUGACAAAAAACUAAAGUCACCCAAAAUCAAAAGUAAGGCUAUAACAAGGCAUAUUUUUUCAAAAAAAAAAAAAAAAAAAAAAAAAUUGAGUUUAGAC